GGGAACUAAAAGGCAGCUGCCAACUCCCCUGAAACAAAAGCAGCAGCAGCAGAAUGGGAGAAAAAGCACUUCAGAAAAUUCUACAUUCUGUUAGCACCUUUCCUCUUAAACACAGAACCUCAAGCAUCAGAACAGACAACCAUGAAGGUGACACCUUGAGAAAACUAAAGGAGAGUCUCACCCUAUUGCUCAAGCUGGAGUGCAGUGGUGUGAUCUCGGCUCACUUCAAUCUCCGCCUCCCGGGUUCAAGCUAUUAUUCUACUGCCUCAGCCUACGAGUAGCUGGAACUGCAGGUAAGAAGAAACUCUGAAAAGACAGUCCAGUUCUGGUGUGGCAACUCCAUACUCUUCGAGGUCCCACGUUCCUUCCCUCUUGCUGUUCUAACCAUCUUUAUUGUCCUGCCCCAUACUGGAAGGUAAGUGCUCAUUUUCCAGUCAUAAUUUUACACAUUUUGGUCAGUGGGAAGGAAAAGAAGGAGAUCCAAGUAGCAGAUAGUCUCCCAUUGCUUAACAGUAGAGAUGAGUCCUGAGAAGUUCGUCUUCAAGUGAUUUGGGCAUUGUGCAAACAUCAUAGAGUGUACGUACACAAACCUCGAUGGUAUCUGUAUCACCUAUAUCCAUACCUAUAUAUCUAUACAGAAAUAAGAUGUCCCAGCACCAUUAUUUUCCCUACUUGAUCUACAAUGC
rnacentral:lncRNA from 1 species